rnacentral:lncRNA from 1 species
GUCAAUACUUCUAGUGUGUGUGACCCCAUAGGUUCUAUUCUGACUGGUAGUGAGAUAUAUUGCGAUCUCUAUCACAAUAUCAUUGAAAACUCCUUUCAAUGGGUUGGAACGAUUCUAACUCAACUCAUUAGGGUUUAUCGAUCAUCAAGAUAAUCCCUAUGAGUCUCACCAUCCACCAGUGACACCUAGCAGCAUGUAGUGGCUACCCAGCAGAAUAGAAUGGUGAACCUCUAGGUGCAGUUAUCAUGUGAUACAGUCCUUCUAUCGUGGAUCCCUACAGGAUGGAGGUCAUGGACAACUCGUCAAACCCCAUCGUCUGUCAUAUGUGAAGAUUUAUUCGACUUA